ACAAAGCAAAAGGAGUCUCCAGACAUGCAGAUUCAGCUCUCCUGUGGACUGCAGCAGCCCAAGACUCAGACCCUGACAGGCCAAUGGAAGACUGAGCUAUUUUUAAGCUGUUCCACACAGCUUACACAGAUUUAACAGUUCCGCUCCCAGCUGUAGGUGCCUCUACAGUACUGCUGCUCCCUGCAGAACCUCCUCAUUUCACCUCCCCCACUGCAGAGGCUCCACUUUUCCCUCCAGUGGUUUUGGAGGAAAGCCCAGGCCUGCCUCUGUAACUUCCUGCCCGGGGAGCCGCUGUCCUCUGAGCCCAGGCCUGGCCUCCAGCUGUUGUCUGGGUCUGUGGCUGAGACCAGCAGUGGAGCAGAGACAAUGUGAAGGAAGCCUCCUGCACACACAAGCAACCUGCAUGUUAACCAUUAACUGUGACAUUUGUGGCCAUGUUUUUCCACAAAGAUGUUUGAGGGUGUAUUUCACCUAGCGGGGCCCAGGUUGUGUUUAUUCAGACUUUAUGGUUAAAAAAAAAAAAAAACGAAGAUAUGUUUGUCCAUGUUCUGUAAAAACCCACAAAAAGGGACAAGAUGUAGGGUUCAUUCUGGGACGUCCUCAAAAAUAACCCCAAGGAAAUGCAAAUUUAACAAAUUCUUGGUCAUUUUCAAAACAAUGGGUUCUUGAUUUUAGACAAUGGUAAACAUUAAGUGAGCGCCUCCAUUCAAAUGGCUGAUGAUCGAUUUGCUGACUGAAAUAGCAACUGUUGCCAGCGAAAUUUAUCAUCUACAGUUAGCUGUGUAAUUAAUGUCAAUGUUAGCUCCGUGAGUUCUGGAAAACGCAACAUCUGGCAGGCUUUUUAAAAAUGUUUCCAGCUGACUUGUUUUAAAAUUGGAACCCUGUAAAAGGCGGGAUCGAUCUGGUUUAUUUCGUCCUGGUGUACUUCCCAUUAAUGUGACUAUAGUGGCUGUACAGUUCAUGUCAUCCCCCCACCGAGGAAAACAAGGAGUCACACAAAACAGUGUGUAAACAGCAUAAAUUGUCUUGACCGUCCUGAAAGACAACAUGCCUCCUGUAGUGUUUCUGCACCUGUGGUUCCGCUGUGUCAACCGAGGAGGAGAAGUUUGGCUGCAAAGAACAAGACAUGGUGAUUCCUAGUCAUGCACAGACAGACAUCAUGACUACAUGACUGGGGGUACGACAGUUCUGGCUUGUUAGCAUUUUUUUUUCUUUAAACCAGUCACAUUUAUGGAGAAUGCAACACAGUAACCCUGCAAAAUAGUGCCAAGUGGUUGUAUGGUGAAACAUUUGCAGGUAGGAUGGUGAGUACUGUCAUUAAAAUGGCAAUUCACUGAUUCAAUUUAAUUCAAAAACCUUAUUUGUCCCCUGGGGGCAAUUUAAAGAAAGAACCAAAGCAGGCCUGCCUUAUUGCACUAUUGUCUGCAAAACUUGCCAUUUUCAUUGCACUGCUUAGAGGAUGUUGUUUUCUGUGGUAAUGGUAAAGGAUUUUUCUUUAUUUCUUUGACAGCAAAAAUGUUUUUAAGAAUAACUGCUCCAGGCAGCUACUUUAAGUCAGAUUUGAAAACAAACAUUUAAAAUUAGUCAUGUAACAUUUAUGUUUUUGGAAAGCUGCAAGUAGCCUGUGGGUAGUUCCUCUAAUACACAUUGUUCACAUGCUGUUUUGCAGGACUUGUUCUUUCUCUGAAUAUUUACAGAGGUGGAGAAUGCAGCGUUAGCAGCAUUAAUGGGAAACACUCCAGGUAGGAAUACACCAGGAUGCAUCUUUAAGUGUGCUUUUGGUGGCAACAAAAAGUAUUUUAAUGCUAAAAGGUUGAAAUGGGAUGUUCUAGACAACAUGCCAGCAUUCUCACCAGCAUUAUAUUUGAAAUGCAUGCAUCUCAUUCAAAUUUAAGUCUUCACUCUUGGUAGUUUCAAGUCAUUUUAGUUUGACAACAAAACAGAUUUUGGAUGAGGACGAACCAGUGUGCUUCACCAACAUAACACCAACUUUGAUAAGUUUGGCUGGAAUUGCAGGAAUGCAAAUCGAACAACAAAAGCACUCAGGCAGUGCAGUACUCUGCCAAGGCUGUUCAGUCAUUGUAUGAUUUCUGACAGAUAAGUCCCGAUAAGUACGCAGCGGUGAUUAUGUAGUAGGAUCACAAUCAUGUGAUCGUCAGCAGGAAGUUGACAUAGUGUUCACUUGUUGUCAUAGUUACAGUGACGUUGUGCCGCUAUCUUGCAAUGAUACAGAAAUCUUUAACAAAUCCAUGGAUCCAGAUUAAAAGCCUCAUCACUGCCAAAAUUUAAUCAGGCGGUCCUUGUGUCAUUUCUGACCUUCCCUGAAAAUUUCAUCCAAAUCUGUUAGUCCGUUUUUGAGUAAUGUUGCGCGCAGACGGACAGACAGACAGAUGGACAAACGUACGCUGAUCAUCAUAUAACUCCGUCGCGUUCCUUGGCAGAGAAAUAAACAACAGGACAGAUUUUAGACUAAACUCAAGUACCCAAAUUUAAAUGUAAAUGUAAAUGUAAAUGAUGGUCUUAUUUUAAGUAAAAUAGACCAUAAAGCAGAGUAUGCUUAAAGGCUGGGCUACCUUGUGAUUGACAGGUUGCCAUAGUAUUGCCAUAUCUAGCCCUCAAUUUUCCAGUCAGACCCACCCCUUGUUGGUUUUGUUUGCCAACAGAAGACCAGGAAGGCAAAUUCCAAACUUGAGGCUUCAGCACUGUAAUCUCAGUGGCUACGUCUGUCUUUUAUCUUUUUUAUCCAGUCUGUGGUUGAAGUGAAGGCCGAGCAGUGCCCAAGUGAUUAGUUUAAAGAAAUGCAAACAAGCCAGAAUAUUUUCCUGCUUUUACAGCAGAAAGAUAAUGAGGUGCAGUCAGACCAUUCUCCAGCGCUGACACCAGUCUGGCUAUGUGAGACUAGUUUCCCAUACAGAAUCAGGGCUGUGUACAAAUAUGGGAUGCUUUUUCAGCGUGCACACAGAACAGAGGGCUAGUGGACCAUCAGGAGACAUUUGAUAAAAAGAUAUUCAGUUAUAACUGCUUUCUCCAGGUUCAUUUUAAUGCCAUGUGCAACACAUGUAAAUGUGUCGCUUCUAAAAUGACUAUGUGUGUGUAACAGGUACAAAAAGGCAGUAGGAGAAUACCAGGUACAAGGGAAUGUGUUUAGAGCCAUCAACAUCUUCAGAGAGCACAGAAUGAGUCCCUACAAGGCAUCUAUUGAGGUUUGUCUACGUGUCAAACUGAAUGUUCUUUUUCUGCAGCGGCUGUGAUAUUACUGGUGAUGAGGAGGAGGAGGAGGGCAGCAGGAUGAAGUGCCUGGAGACAUCAAACUAGUAGGGAGUUGCCAGACUGCAAAAAAUAUUCAUCUUAACAAGUCAAUCAGUUAGUUUUUUUUAAAUUCACUGUUAUUCCAAUAAUAUCCAACACAAUUUCUCUAAUUCCUGUUUGUUCCCUGGUGCAAUAUCAACCAGUAAAUUCCUCCCACUCUCAUGCAAUAAUCCCCAUAAAUAUCCAUCACAUGCAAUACUGAGAGCAGAAUACAGAUAACAUCUCAAUAACAUUUAGUCUAGAGGGCAACAACUACCCCUAUGCUGGAAAACCUGGCCCCCUGCUGUACUCUGUGUAGGUCAGUUUGUGACCGCCUCCGUGUUUUUGUUUUUUAUUUUUUUGGGGGGGGAAUAUCCACCACUAAAUACAGGAUCUGUAUGAUUAGAUACAGUAAAAGUUGACUACUCUC